rnacentral:rRNA from 1 species
AAGACCGGUGCCAGCCGCCGCGGUAAUACCGGCAGCCCGAGUGAUGGCCGAUCUUAUUGGGCCUAAAGCGUCCGUAGCUGGGUCUGAAAGUCCAUCGGGAAAUCCACUCGCUCAACGAGUGGCCGUCCGGUGGAAACUCCACACCUUGGGACCGGAAGGCUCGAAGGGUACGGCCGGGGUAGGAGUGAAAUCCUGUAAUCCCGUCCGGACCACCGAUGGCGAAAGCACUUCGAGAAAACGGAUCCGACAGUGAGGGACGAAAGCUAAGAUCGCGAACCGGAUUAGAUACCCGGGUAGUCUUAGCCGUAAACAAUGUUCGUUAGGUAUGACACAGACUACGCGUCUGUGUUGUGCCGUAGGGAAGCCGAGAAACGA